rnacentral:rRNA from 1 species
UAAGGAAUAUUGGACAAUGGUCGCAAGACUGAUCCAGCCAUGCCACGUGCAGGAAGACGGCCCUAUGGGUUGUAACCUGCUUUUGUACCAGAGAAAACCUAUCUACGUGUAGAUAGCUGAUGGUAUGGUAAGAAUAAGCAUCGGCUAACUUCGUGCCAGCAGCCGCGGUAAGACGAAGGAUGCAAGCGUUAUCCGGAUUCAUUGGGUUUAAAGGGUGCGUAGGCGGGCUUGUAAGUCAGUGGUGAAAUCUCUCAGCUUAACUGAGAAACUGCCAUUGAUACUUCAGGCCUAGAGUAUAGAUGACGUUGGCGGAAUAUGACAUGCAGUGGUGAAAUACUUAGAUAUGACAUAGAACACCAAUUGCGAAGGCAGCUUACUACAUAUAAAUUGACGCUGAGGCACGAAAGCGUGGGGAUCAAACA